rnacentral:antisense_RNA from 1 species
UAGAUCUUAAGUGCAUUUCUGAAAAUGGUGAUUUGCCUUUUUAUGUGAGAGCUCAACAGGGUAAACUGGCAACAAACAAGGAUUUAAAAAUACAACCAUGGACUCCUACAAGUAUCAACGAAUGAAAAUCACUUACAUGCCACUUCCAGAGAUGCAUUUCGACUUACUGCUUCACCGAGAUAGUUCCUCGCAACACAGACGUAGCUUCCUUCAUCGGGUUUGCUUCUGCGCCCAUGAACAAUGCGCAAGAAAAAUAAGGAUCCGCUGGGCAGAAGCAUCCUGUGAGACCGGGGAUCAUCCUUGUCAGUCUCCACCCGCUCGCCAUCCUUGUACCACUCAAUGGUGGGCGUUGGCCGGCCCUCUGCCUUACAGUUCAAGGUGGUGGGCUCUCCCUUAGAGACAAUGACAUCUGAAGGGUGCUCCACAAUCCGCGGAGGGAAGUCUUCUUGGCGAAGACGAGAUCCUUAAAAUCUGUAAUAAUAACUGGCAGGAGUAGGAUUAUUCUGAUUCGAUUCUUCAGAAGCACUGGCCUCGAGUAACAUCUGUCAGAAACAUGAUGUUGUUGGUUGAGCACUUCUGGUUGUUUGCAAUCUUUGGGUAACUCUUCUUCUCCACUUUAUGUCCAACCUUGGUAUCACAGUGACUCUCAUCAAGCUCAAGAAUAUCUGCCUUUGUAGAAUGGCCAAAUAAUAGCUUCUAGGCCUCUACACUCCCUGAAGAAGAGAUACCCACCUUCAUUCCAGCCUCUGUUCCAUUUCCUGCCUGCUGGAGCUACAUUUUCAAUGAACUCCGCUUCAUGUGCCCAGCUGUGCUGCUCUCCACAGGUGGCCCGGCAGCUGUUUCAGUGCAGCGGUCUCUCAGUCUGGAGACAUCGGUCAGCACACGUUGUCUACCAUGGCCUGGAUUAUCUGCUGCAGGUCAUCUCCUGAUUGUGCACAUCCCUCCUCGUGACCACGUUCAGUGAAGAGAUUUCAGGUUGGUAAUUCAUUCAUAUUUCCAAGUUUCAUUGCUUUGUGCCCUAAUCAUCUUCUUCUAGAGUACUUUUAUGAAAAGACGAGAAUAACAAUGCAUGCUUCUUCUGAUAAUAAUGGUACUUUGCUUCCAUGAAAAAAAUUUCCCCUUUCCAAGGUUUUCCUUUCCAGGGGGUCCGAGUCAGCUUGCUCAGAGUUGGUCCAGAGAAAAAGAGCAUCAAAACGAGAAAAAGUUCAAGUCUAGUAAUUCUCCUCACUUUCUCUAAUGAUAACAUUUCCACAAGUUAAUUUCACAAAAUUUCUCACAUCCUCUUCCCUCCCGGUUAUUAAAAUAGCCUUAAUCAUUGAAAAACCCGAGGUAGGUGUUGUUUUGCCAUCUUUAACAGCUGAAGUAGCAGCUCCCUGAUGUAGCCCUGAGCCAAGCUACAUUUCUCACGGAUCCG